UUUUUAUGAUGUUCCAAAUGUUUUGCUUUGAAGCUGGAAGGUCAUCUUCAUGAACCAUCACUAGAACUAUCUACAUCCCAGAUCAAGUUGUGCCCAGCACCGUCCAGGCUGCUGCCACAAGAUGUGCACAGGCUUUCCCUACGCUGCAGCAGCCCCAGAAUGCUAAGCUGAUUUCUGAGACAGCUGAAAAUAAAUCAGAGCAGGCCUGAGGCUUCUCUACUCAACUUCAGUGCUCCUACUGGCUAGCUGGGCUCCUUUUC
ensembl:lncRNA